CAGGCAGUGCAGUCGGGUUGAAGGGGCCUCCCCCUGGGGAGACAGGGAAGUUGGGGUGGCCGCAGCAGAAGAAAGAGAAAAUCCCCUACUAGUGUUCCAGAAUGGCCUCCCUGUCCUCUCUGCGCCUCCUGCUCCCAGCUGACCUCUCUCAUCCCAGCUCGAUGUGUGAGCUGUAAGAGAGCCAAAGACCAUGGGAGGUCAGCAGCUCCGCAGAGCCAGACGGUCAGGCAUCCAGCUGGCGUCUACCUAUCAGUGAUGGAUUACGUAUCGCCGUUCUCCCGCCUCUAUGAGUCAGUCUACCAACAAGGACCUGCUAUGGGGCCAGCCACUUGCCAGGGGACUGGGGGGCAGGGGCCAGAUAGCGAUGUGGCUGCUGUUGGGGGCCCCAUGGUUGAUAUAGAAGACUGUCAAACGGACCAGAGAGAGAACUAAAACCGAAGAAAGGAUCUCAAUGAAGGCAUGCCACGGGGAUGCAAACUAGAAGUUUCAGAAACAAGACAAGAACCAAAGUGCACAGGGACAGGCUCCUUUCCAGACCUCUCCGUCCUUGGGUUCCUCCGGCACUUCCCACCCGGACCACAGCCCUUUAUCAGAACCAGCUUCGGAUCGCAAGUGGGGUUAAGCGUCAGCUGCUGCGUGUGAACCCGGAAGGGCUCCGUCUUGUGUCCUCACAGCACCUACCCCCUUGCUUUAGGCCCAGAAAGAAAAGAAAUUCACAGGAGACACCGAGUCUCAGACUCUUUCUUGGAUAUAACCAAGAGGUCCCCAGAUCUAAGAGGUGUCCCCAUCCCGGAGCCUCUCCUCUGAAAUACACUUCAGUAUGUCCACAUCCCUUCUCAGUAACGUAGAUCCCAGGUAGCUGCUUCACGGCUGAGGACAGAUGGCUGCAUUAGUGACGUGUGGCACACAUCACACCGUUGCCUUGAGUCAAGCUUGGGGCUGAUCUUGGUCAAGCCUUUUCCACCAAGCCGCAUCUCCCCUGUGUGGUGCUGCUGCUCAUGGUUCUGUGGCGUUUCUUCCUGCUCAAGUUCACGAUGUUAGGAUUCGGCCCACUGUCAAGCACUUUGUCAUCCGAAGGCAUCCAUGUUGCCAUAUCCCUUCCUACUUCCUGCUGUCAGAAGCCUUGGAAAAGCACAAGAUCUACCUGAGCCUUUGUUUCUUCAACUGUAAAAUGGAGGGGACAACCCCUACCUUAUGGGGCUUUCGUGAAGAGCUUGCACUUCUGUCUCUGAAAAGGCAGGAUUGGACCAGAAGGCAUCCCAGGGUGAAAUGCCCAUCAUUCCAUGACAGGAUAGGAAUUGAGACACUUUGGUGAGGAAGAAAUACCUGAUUUCUGAAAACAGCUGAUAUCCUGAACAGUUUCCUGGAAAUUACACCGCUGGUUAACUUUUAUAAAGCAUUCCAAGUGUUGAUCAGCAAGUUCUGAUGCUUCCAAGUGCCCAAAGAGGAAAUCCAGCAGCCAAGUUCCUGGGGGGUCCCAUCUGAUGCUGGAGGUAACCGGCUCCCCCAGUCAGGGACUUGACGCUCUUGACCUCGGCGCUCUUGCCCCCAGCACCCAGACCAGCCUCUGUGAAGAGACCGAGCCCGAGAGGCGACCUGUCCUCACGCACAGACAAUCGUGGUGCCUAUGGGACAUAGCGAGGCUCUAUUUUCUAGACUUGCUCUGUUUGCUGAAAACCCGAAGAAGCCAGUAAAUUGUUUCCUGUGCCUGAAGUGCCUGAAGUGAUGAUGCGGUGUGCUGCUGAUCGAAGAGGUGUCACAUGUCCCCGGGACACGGUGGCCAGAGAGGACACUCAGUGCACGAGCAAGGCUGGAAGACAGAGCCAAGACACAAACUGCAAAGCAACAGCUCAACCGCCCAGAGCGAGUGGGCUUCGCACUAUUUCUGGCCAGAGCAGAUGUGGCCUCGGUGGGCCGUGGGGAACAGUAUCCCUCAGGUAAAAAUAAACUCAUACCGUUAGGACCCAAAGGAUGCCGAUUCCUCAUUCCCAAGCAGAUCGUGAACUGGGAGCUGUGUGGAAAGACAACUGGUUUGGGAAUCCGACAGGGUUCUGCCCUGGAUUUCUUCCAGAUUGCGCUACCAAUCGGCCAUCUGGUCUCGGUCACAUGAGGUGAGCGAGCAUUCACUCAGUGCUCAGUACCUGCUGCGCACUGAGGGGACACGGAGGAGUCUGACAUGUUGAUCUUGCCCUUGGGUAGCCUGCCUUCUAGCAGGGAAGACAAACCUCAGUGGUUUCCGGUGAUGCAGGAUGCUGUGGGGACCAGCGGGGCAGCAUGUCAUCCAGUCUGGGGUGCAGGAAUGCUGCCUGGAGGAGCGGAUGCAUCUGUGCUGAGUCUUAAAGGUGGAGCAGAGGUCAUCCAGGUCUUCUGCCAUCAGUAACAAAUUAUUAAAAGGAUAUUUAGUAGGUCACGCAAGGUGAAAGAGGACUGGCAAAAGGAGACGGUGCAAACCCAAGUGGAUGGAGAAGCUGGAGAGGGAGAAGACAUCUUCAAGCUUCCGGGUGAUGUCAGUGCCGCUGGUCUGUGGACCUCGCGUUGAGUUGCAAGGUCUACAGGGUCCGUUUGGUGCAAUUCUUUACCAUGGCUGGAAUUUGCAUUGCGACAGCCGUGGUGUGAGUCCUUGGACGCCUCAGAGGGAAGACCUAGAGCCUCCUUUGUGCUUCGCGUCUUCCUCCUCUGUGGAGGGGAACACAAAGCUUUUCCUGACUUCCAUGGAUUUCUCCAGAGCCUUGGCUUUUGGAAAUUCUACCAGAAUGACGGCUGCAUUUUUAGUGGUGGAAAUUAUUGAUAGGUCUCAAAAGCAAGGAAUCAGAGAAUAUCUGUUUUCCAGAGGUAAUGUAUGACUUCCACCAAAGCCACACCAGUAUUUCUAAUACCUUAAUGAGUUUUUUUUUUCAUAAGAACAGAACUAAGAUUCCUAUCAUUUCCUGGAAUCUCAAAAGAGAAAAAAAAAAAAAAAGGAAAGAAAGAAAGAAUUCAACUAGAUACCCAUUUGUUAGCCCAACAUUGGAAGGGAUCAGCCUUUGAUUGGGUGGUCACAAAGCAUCACCCAGGCCAAGAAACAGAAAAUGAGACUCUACCUCUCUUGGUUGGCAAGAGUGCAUGGAACUGGAAUACCGAUGGGGCCAUUUUCAGAAAGACAACCUGCUCCAAGAAUUUCUCUCCUUUUCGAUGUCAUCAGCACCCCCAGCUGUAGAGAAAACAUGGAAGUUAGGCAGAUGGUCUCCAUCGCCCAGUGGAAUAUUUUUUUAGAUUUCCCAGGCCCCUUCAGCUGGAACUUAUGAAAUAAACAAUUACAAACUAAAGUGGCAAUUACUGGAUAGAACCACAAAGAAUAAAUAAGGUUUCCAGGGCGCCUGGGUGACUCAGUUGGUUGGGCAUCUGCCUCGGCUCAGGUCAUGAUCCCAGGGUCCUGGGAUUCAGCCCCGCGCCAGGCUCUCUGCUCAGUGAAUUGAGGAAACAGGGAGAGUGCACACCCGACGGAUGGAUAACCCUUAAUGAUGUUGCAAAAACGGGAGAAUAAGAACGUGACAGCUAAGACAGAAGAUGUGUCCCCCUUCCUCUUCGCUUUGAAUGUGGCUCUGUGUAUGACUGGCAGCUGGAAGUUUGACAGGACUCUCCAACCGUGUCUUAAGUGUUCAAAAUGAAGUACAAAACAUAGGAAACUUGGGUCACCCUGGACAACCUAGUGCUCUCGUGUUUGUCUACAGCUUACAUUUCUGUAAGUGGAAAGCGGAAACAAAGGACGUGUAUACUGAAUGUCUCAGGCGAUAACCAUCAGGCUGCCUUCCAUGCUGAAGAGCAAUGAUCACCUGGGGUCUGCAGACCCCCAGAGUCACGGAGAGGACAUGGAAGAAAGUAAGGGAGAGAGAGACCAAGAAAUGGAGACACAGCUCUCUUAUGUGCUAAAAACAAAGAAGAACCUCAUAACUGAUGUGUUUCAUGCUAAAUGGUGCCAGAAGAUGAUCCCCAAAGAACAAGGCAAAGGAGUUAACACAAGCAUCUCUGACCUCACGAUUCCUCAACGUUCCUACUUCUCUUUCCUCUAGUAUAUGUAGGUCUGCACAUCAGAGGACACGGCAUUCAGCCUCAGACCUCCAGAAUCCUGUGUGCAUGUUUGAAAGGAUAAAUAGCCCGCAUUUGAGAGCAUGUGGCGAGACAGGAUUCCUAGCUUACUUUGUAUUUCAUAUUAAAUACAAGACACCUUAACACACUAACAAACAGCAGAAAUUCAGUCUACUUUGCCUUUAUGGACAUCUGUUCUCAGACUGCUGGUUGUUUACCUAACUGCUAUAAUAAAGGCUAAUUUCUACAUUAAAGUAA